rnacentral:rRNA from 1 species
AGAGUUUGAUCCUGGCUCAGAAUGAACGCUGGCGGCGUGCUUAACACAUGCAAGUCGUACGAGAACGCUUCAGCUUGCUGAAGCUAGUAAAGUGGCGUACGGGUGAGUAACGCGUGGGUAAUCUACCUUCGAAUUGGGGAUAACGUUGCGAAAGUGACGCUAAUACCGGAUGAUAUCAUAGAGACCUUGGUUUUUAUGAUCAAAGAUGGCCUCUCCUUGGAAGCUAUUGUUUGGAGAUGAGCCCGCGUCCCAUUAGCUUGUUGGUGGGGUAAUGGCCUACCAAGGCAACGAUGGGUAGCUGGUCUGAGAGGAUGAUCAGCCACACUGGAACUGACACACGGUCCAGACUCCUACGGGAGGCAGCAGUGAGGAAUUUUGCGCAAUGGGGGAAACCCUGACGCAGCAACGCCGCGUGAGUGAUGAAGGCUUUCGGGUCGUAAAGCUCUGUCAAGUGGGAAGAACUCCCGUGAGGUUAAUACCCUCAUGGUUUGACGGUACACUGAAGGAAGCACCGGCUAACUCCGUGCCAGCAGCCGCGGUAAUACGGGGGGUGCAAGCGUUAUUCGGAUUUACUGGGCGUAAAGCGCGCGUAGGCGGCCGUUUAAGUCAGAUGUGAAAGCCCGGGGCUCAACCCCGGAAGUGCAUUUGAUACUAUUCGGCUUGAGUAUGGGAGAGGGAAGUGGAAUUCCUGGUGUAGAGGUGAAAUUCGUAGAUAUCAGGAGGAACACCGGUGGCGAAGGCGACUUCCUGGACCAAUACUGACGCUGAGGCGCGAAGGCGUGGGUAGCAAACAGGAUUAGAUACCCUGGUAGUCCACGCAGUAAACGGUGAUCACUAGGUGUAGCGGGUAUUGACCCCUGCUGUGCCGCAGCUAACGCAUUAAGUGAUCCGCCUGGGGAGUACGGCCGCAAGGUUAAAACUCAAAGGAAUUGACGGGGGCCCGCACAAGCGGUGGAGCAUGUGGUUUAAUUCGACGCAACGCGAAGAACCUUACCUGGAUUUGACAUCUCGGGAAUUUCUAUGAAAGUAGGAAGUGCCCUUCGGGGAGCCCGAUGACAGGUGCUGCAUGGCUGUCGUCAGCUCGUGUCGUGAGAUGUUGGGUUAAGUCCCGCAACGAGCGCAACCCCUAUCUUUAGUUACCAGCACUUCGGGUGGGGACUCUAAAGAUACUGCCCCGGUCAACGGGGAGGAAGGUGGGGAUGACGUCAAGUCCUCAUGGCCUUUAUGUCCGGGGCUACACACGUGCUACAAUGGGCAGUACAGAGGGUCGCGAC